UUGGUGGCCUCAUGUGUUGAGCCUAAGGUGUUUGGAGGUACUAGGAUUUCUGGCCAACUUAAUCCUGUUAAUCAUCAACUUCAUGACGUGGCUCCUAAAGUUUUUACUUUUAAUUUCAUGGCAGGUAGUCUCAUCCUAAACAAACCCAUUUCCACUAUGACAAAGAAAGUGUGAUGGCCAAAGUCUUUAUGAAGAGUAAGAUUAAAUCCCUCUAUUUGUUCUGUUAACUAAAUUCAUGUUUUCCUAUUCACCUUCUUAAACUUUGGAUUCAACAAAAAAACUCCCCAUGAUGUCGCUACUUCCUCUGGUUCAAUACGAAGGUAUACAUAAAGUUGAGACCGUCACUGUUGCUGAGCUUAACGCUUAUGUCCUUAACUCUGACCCACAGGCCACAUGUGCUAUUUUAACAGUCUUCGUCUUUUGUUGAUUCUUGUCUGUAAACUAAAAUGCUCUCUAAUCUAUUUGACCACAGUAUGUAGAGUUCCUCUGUCCCGGUGAAGUUGAUAGUAUUGAUAUCACUAAUGAGUGGUGUUACACCUCCUGCUUAAAAUUCUAUAGAAAGCUUCAGAGCGGAUUAUAAUACUCACAUAUGCAGCUUGCUAUAAUGACAACGAUGUUGGUGUUCUCAGGUGAUCAUGCAUAGACUGGCGCUAUUUGGGUCUCUUAGAAGUACACAUCUUAGUUGCGUUUGAAAGUAACAACCACUGAACGAUUUCGAUGUUGUGAUUUCUGCAGGUUUCAUGUUCACUUCUCUGUGUCAGAUGGGUCAGAAUCUGCUGGGUUCGUAGCAUUUGAUGGUGAGAUGACCAGGUUCACAGAUGCA
rnacentral:lncRNA from 1 species